rnacentral:rRNA from 1 species
UACGGAGGGGGCUAGCGUUGUUCGGAAUCAUUGGGCGUAAAGGGCGCGUAGGUGGAUGUGUAUGUUGGAUGUGAAAGCCCCGGGCUUAACCUGGGAAUUGCAUACAAAACUGCGCAUCUAGAGUAGAGCAGAGGUGAGUGGAAUUUCCGGAGUAGCGGUGAAAUGCGUAGAUACCGGAAGGAACACCAGUGGCGAAGGCGACUCACUGGGCUCAAACUGACACUGAGGCGCGAAAGCGUGGGGAGCAAACAGG